rnacentral:rRNA from 1 species
GAUGAACGCUAGCGGCAGGCUUAAUACAUGCAAGUCGAGGGGCAGCGGGGUAGCAAUACCGCCGGCGACCGGCAAACGGGUGCGGAACACGUACAGAACCUUCCUUUAAGCGGGGGAUAGCCCAUAGAAAUGUGGAUUAAUACCCCAUAAUAAUACUAGCUGGCAUCAGCUGGUAUUUAAAGAUUUAUCACUUAAAGAUGGCUGUGCGGCUGAUUAGGUAGUUGGUGCGGGAACGGCCCACCAAGCCAGCGAUCAGUAACUGGUGUGAGAGCACGACCAGUCACACGGGCACUGAGACACGGGCCCGACUCCUACGGGAGGCAGCAGUAAGGAAUAUGGUCAAUGGACGCAAGUCUGAACCAGCCAUGCCGCGUGAAGGAU